GAGUCUUUAAUACCAACAUGUUCCAAGCAGACCACCAUAGGCCCUGUGCCCAUGAACACUAAGAAUCCAGAAGACAGAUAACUGUGACUCAGACUCUUACAGUGAAAACUGUUUCCUCAGGACUUUACUGGAAAAUGAUGGGGCAGCAUAAGCAAGAACUGUCAUCUCUCUACCUAAGCAGAGCCCCCCAGAAGAGGACAGUACACUCUGACAGACACCUGCAGUGAAAGCUGUUGGCCCUGGAGACACGGUCAACAUUGGCUGUAAACUCAGCAGUGGUAUAUACGGUAAUUACGUGCACUGGUACCAACAGAGACCUGGAGAAGCUCCAAAACGUCUCAUUUAUCAGAUAGACAACAAGUUCACUGGGACUCCAUCUAGAUUCAGUGGCAGUGGAUCUGGGAGUGACUUCACUCUGACCAUCAGUGAAGUUCAGGCUGAAGAUGCAGGAGAUUACUACUGUCAGAGUUACCACAGUGGUGGAGUGUUCACACAGUGAU